UGGCUUCUUCAAACGAUUGGGCGCACUCUAAGCUCUUUUCGUUGAAGUUAUCCAUGUAACUGUUGAGAACUUGAACGUGAAAUGAUGGAUUGAGAAUGCGGCGAGACUUUUUCCAGCGUUCGUCUGUAAAUAGUUUCGAAAAGGUGUAGCGAUGACGACCAAUGGACGGACAGUGUACCAGAGACGAUAGAUACCACCAUACUUUCGAACCCAAGUGAAAGCGGAUUUCUCCAGCAGUUCUGAUGGUGAAUGUUGCCCAGCACAGGUAAAGCUUUUGGGCCAGGAAGAACGUUUAUGAGGCGUACGAAGCGGGAUCGACUCCACCUCCAGUAAGAGAUGGUGAGUAAAAAGGCUAGGAACGAGCCUAGGAAUGACGGGUUCCAUCCAAUCCAAGGAAAACUAAACAUAUUUGUUCGCAAUAGCAAACCACAGCACACAGAAAAAGAAAUUUUGUUUACACCUAAUGUCGAAAGACCGUUGUUCUCUUUGAAAGGGGAUUAACUAGUGCCUUUUAUCCGAAUUUCUCAUGCCAAGGGAGAAAAACACCUUUCGAUUUCUACUAGAAAUCUGUACAACGUAAAGAUAGAAAGGUGGAAGGGGAAAACUGGUUGGGCUACUUUGAAAGUUCCUCUUAUGGUAUGUGAUGUGUCAACAUCAGUACGACGUUGGGUAAAAUGUUUUGCACUUUCUAAAUCAAGGUAUUCAUAGCAGAAAAUAGGAUCAAUAAUUUUGAUAACUGGUGUCACAGUAAAAGGACUUUUAGAUAAGUAACACUUGUAUAUUACUACUACUAAAUUAGCUUACAAAAGUUCAAUCAGCUUUCCGUUGCAUAGCAACAGUUUUAUUGAAACCAAAUUUUUGCCACGUAAUAAUUCUGAUGAGUUGACGUUCAUCUGUUUUUAUUAUAAGCUCAGUUUUAUAAUUCACUUCAAAUGAUAAAAAUAACUCAAAUCCACUGUUCGUUUAGUUGAAUCGUUUACAGUUACGUGAAACAUUGGUAUAAAAGAAAACAUAAAAAUUUUGUUUAAAAAGAAAAAUGGGGAAAAAAGUUUAAAAAAAGUCUUCUAAGUUGAAAUUAAACUUAUGAGUCUUCUUCGUAAAAUGCAUAGUUAUCUUUCCCAGAAUGUCAUUGACAACGAAUAGGUACACCCUUUUUACGUUUGCACAACAUGUUCGUCCACUUUCGCUUGCUUACUGCCUCCGUACUUGCGCUUCAACUGUUGAACUGCUUCCAAGAUUAGAUCAAACAAUUGUUGCGAUAAAAAUGGGUUAUGGUGAGACAAAGUCCGGAGUCGUUGAAUGCAACGCAAGACUGGUAAUAAAAGUGUCAUCAUUUCUUGCCUCAAGUUAACAUCUUUCUGAAGAAAACUAAUAAAAUCCUCAGCCUCCGAA